CAGUGCGGAAUUUUAGAUAAUGGAGGCAACUCUGAUCUAGCGACGCCGCGUGCAGGAAGAAGGUCUUCGGAUUGUAAACUGCUGUGGUAAGGGAAAAAUGCCAUGUAGAGUGGAAAGCUACAUGGAGGGAUGGUACUUUACUAGAAAGCCCCGGCUAACUACGUGCCAGCAGCCGCGGUAAUACGUAGGGGGCGAGCGUUACCCGGAAUCACUGGGCGUAAAGGGAGCGUAGGUGGCCUGACAUGUCAACUGUGAAAACCCGGAGCUCAACUCCGGACUUGCAGUUGAAACUGCCAGGCUUGAGGACGGUAGAGGAAGACGGAACUGCCAGUGUAGGGGUAAAAUCCUUAGAUAUUGGCAGGAACGCCGGUGACGAAGGUGGUUUUCUGGGCCGGUUCUGACACUGAUGCUCGAAAGCCAGGGGAGCGAACGGGAUUAGAUACCCCGGUAGUCCUGGCCCUAAACGAUGUUCACUAGGUGUGGGGAGCGGAAAGCUUUCCGUGCUAAAGCUAACGCAAUAAGUGAACCGCCUGGGGAGUACGCCCGCAAGGGUGAAACUCAAAGGAAUUGACGG
rnacentral:rRNA from 1 species